UUUCUUUUUCCAUUUCUUUUUUCCUUUUUUAUUACAUUUUUUUUUUGAAAAUAAACAUGCUAUGAUGCAAAUGAUGCAAACACGACUGGCUGGCUGUGCAUCUCGGAGCACAGGUUCAAAGCUUCGGCUUGAAUUCGGAACCACAGAGUCAUCUGAGACCCAAAAUCAUCUAAGACCCAUAUCUCGGAACCAAGUCACCAACAGGACCCAAGAGUC
rnacentral:lncRNA from 1 species